rnacentral:lncRNA from 1 species
AUGCUCUCGGGGGCACACAGAAAGCAGAAUGAAGCCCUGAAAUCAGCUUCGCACCCUACUUCAGCAGCAGCAGACGCGCUUGGCCUGCCAAAGGUGCACACCCUCUGCCUAAACCUCAAUUUUCAGGGCACAAACUGGGGCAACAGCACAAGAGCGGGUGAUGGAGGGAUGUGUCUGCUCAGCCCCUCACAGCCCCACCACAGCCCCUCUGCUGCUCGCUGGACCUAUGUGCACGGGCAGGGGGGCUAUACGGGUUUGGGAUCACACCAGCCGUCCUUUCCCUCCCCAGGUCAGUGGUGGGGGAGGCCGGGUGAGAAAAUGGCGGCCUGGCAGGCAGGUCGCGCGGCCAUGGCGGUGGGGGCGCAGGCGGCGGCUGAUGGCGGCCGGUUUCCAUGGAGUCAGUGUGAAGCUUGGCUGAUUUUCACUGAAGUAGUAGAAGAUUCCUGAAGCACGUUGAGAGGAACGGGUUGACGAUGAGAGGGGUUUUGAGUCCAAGAGCUGCUCGCAAUGCAAAAGAUGGAGCCCACGAAGAAGGUGAAAACAUCAUGCAUGAAUGAGCGAUGCAAGGUAUGUUCAGAUGGGCAAGGCAGCAUUGUACUGUGGGUACAUGGGUACAUGGCACCAGGCAAGCUGCUGUAUCUGCGCUUAUCCAUGCAGAGACACAAGCACCCUGGAAGGAAAUUAGCCAUAUUAACAUAGCAUGGCAUUGAGGUUAAUCUACCCCAUUCUUGAGCAGAAUUCAUUGGGUCUCAAAGCUGUCCGCAUGUGGCUGUAUCAUUUCCACCUCUGGAGUUAUAUGGGACAGAAUUACCCAUGACCAACUCUGGGAACAUGCAGAAUAGGCAGUAGCUGUGUGAAGUAAUGGUAUACCUCUGACCCUCCUGUCAACUUUGCCAGAGUCAUGGAAAGCCAAAUUUGGCAACAUCACUCAGAGAAGGGCUGAGAUGUGUAAAACAGCAUUUAUGAGGCCUGAUGUUACCAACAUCUGAGAAAUAGCCUUGUUGCUUCUGUUUUCUUCUUCCUGGAGUCUCAAGGGAUCAGCAUUCUAGUUCCUUUCCGUCUUCUUUCCCUUCCCAGUCCUCUUUUCUUUCUCUUUCCUCUUCUUGCACAGGACUAGUCCAGCUCAAAUCCCCACAUCAUAACUGAACUUUACCUAUGCUCCUGAGAAUCUGCCAGUCACCUCUGGUACUGCCGCGGAGAUCUGCACUGCUUGUAGCCACAUCCUUUGAGACCCUCAGCUCAGGAUUGCUUGCCAUAGCUAACCCUGCAGAAACCUCCCUCCCUGUCACUCCUCCUCCCUUCCCAAGACACUGUAGAGCUGACAGCAGCAGCUGAAUUACCUGGCUGCUUUUCAGAAGAACGUAUCCCAGAGCAAAGUAAGGCAGUGGCCCCAGCCACUCAGUGUAAUUAAACACAAGCAUCAUAUUUGUAUAGCUUGUGCCGUGGC